CUGCUUGUACUCUGGCCCUUGGCUGGUUCCCUUUUGUGAUUGUUUGUCUGAAAAGCUGGAUUUUGGCUGUUCAUGCACAACAGCUGAAAGCCCCAUACAACAUUGUGAAGACUCUUACUGAACAGAAAUUAGCCUGAGCUGUAGUUCUGUGCAAAGGUUAGCUGCUCCUGGAGCUAGAGCUAGAACAAACUGGGGCCACACUGCAGAGUACCAGACCCUGUAAAGGAGAUUUUUUGAGGUAGAUGCACAGUGGAGGCGAGAAAGGGCUUUGCUUUCCCAGAAGACUCGGUAGGGAGCCCUGGAACUGCUCUUAUCCACAAAAAGCGUCAGAUAGAUGCCUCCUACCCGCGGCUUGGUUGUAGCUCAGCAAUUGAACCUCUUCAGUACUCAAGCCCUCUUGUGGUUCUGUAUGCAAUGCACAGGUUAUUUUGGUCACCUGCGUCCAGAACUACUCUGAAUAGACUUUUAAAGUGAGAAUUUUAAGUAUUUGUUGUGUUUAUCCACAAGGUUUUAACUGCAUGUUAAUAAAAGACUGUCCUGGAAUGCUAGUAGCUGGAAUGCAUUUCUGUGAAUGCUUUGACUAUUUGGCUAAUUGCCUUUGCACUGUUUCUUGUAAAUUUAUUUAAUGUUCUUGUAUUUAUAUUUUGAACUGUAAAAAAAAAGUAAUAAAUUUACAGCAAGUACGACACAUAAAAUACAUAAACUUUGUCUUUUAAAUUAAUGUGUCGUUAUACUGGGCCAUGUUACAGUUCUUCAGAUUACAUGAGCUGCAGCAUGUAACCUCUUGUAGAGGAUGCUGACUAGCCCUUAAAUUCAUUGUCUUCCACAUAUUUUCCCUUUCGUGGUUCUAGCAGAUCUGUUUUUCAGCAGAGAAAACCCUGACAGUGCUUGCCCUGAAGUCUGCUGAAGCUCCUCCAAAGCUGAGUUGGGCUUAAGUAAUUAAAUUCCUUAUGAAAUAUUCCACUGUCAUUGACCUGCUUGGAAUCUUCCUCUUUUUCUAUUUUUUUGCACACUAACAUGUUAUGAUUCUUUUAAUGAUUUUAUUUAAUAUAUUUCUGGAGGUGGGGGGUCUUUUCUGACUUUGCCACUUAAAGCACACACAUACUGUAGAAAAGUUUUGCACCCACAGCAGCAUAUUAUUUUAUCUCAGUAAAUAAUUCUCAGCAUUAAACUAACUGAGACUGC